rnacentral:rRNA from 1 species
GUCUGCAACCCGACUACAUGAAGCUGGAAUCGCUAGUAAUCGCAAAUCAGAAUGUUGCGGUGAAUACGUUCCCGGGUCUUGUACACACCGCCCGUCACACCAUGGGAGUCGGAUAUGCCCGAAGCCAGUGACCUAACCGCAAGGAAGGAGCUGUCGAAGGUGGAGCCGAUAACUGGGGUGAAGUCGUAACAAGGUACC